rnacentral:rRNA from 1 species
UUAAGUUAGAAAGGGCGCACGGUGGAUGCCUUGACACUAGGAGUCGAUGAAGGACGGGACUAACGCCGAUAUGCUUCGGGGAGCUGUAAGUAAGCUUUGAUCCGAAGAUUUCCGAAUGGGGAAACCCACCAUACGUAAUGGUAUGGUAUCCUUAUCUGAAUACAUAGGGUAAGGAAGACAGACCCAGGGAACUGAAACAUCUAAGUACCUGGAGGAAGAGAAAGCAAAUGCGAUUUCCUGAGUAGCGGCGAGCGAAACGGAACAUAGCCCAAACCAAGAGGCUUGCCUCUUGGGGUUGUAGGACAUUCUAUACGGAGUUACAAAGGAACGAGGUAGACGAAGCGACCUGGAAAGGUCCGUCGUAGAGGGUAACAACCCCGUAGUCGAAACUUCGUUCUCUCUUGAAUGUAUCCUGAGUACGGCGGAACACGUGAAAUUCCGUCGGAAUCUGGGAGGACCAUCUCCCAAGGCUAAAUACUCCCUAGUGAUCGAUAGUGAACCAGUACCGUGAGGGAAAGGUGAAAAGCACCCCGGAAGGGGAGUGAAAGAGAUCCUGAAACCGUGUGCCUACAAAUAGUCAGAGCCCGUUAACGGGUGAUGGCGUGCCUUUUGUAGAAUGAACCGGCGAGUUACGAUCCCGUGCGAGGUUAAGCUGAAGAGGCGGAGCCGCAGCGAAAGCGAGUCUGAAUAGGGCGUUUAGUACGUGGUCGUAGACCCGAAACCAGGUGAUCUACCCAUGUCCAGGGUGAAGUUCAGGUAACACUGAAUGGAGGCCCGAACCCACGCACGUUGAAAAGUGCGGGGAUGAGGUGUGGGUAGCGGAGAAAUUCCAAUCGAACCUGGAGAUAGCUGGUUCUCCCCGAAAUAGCUUUAGGGCUAGCCUUAAGUGUAAGAGUCUUGGAGGUAGAGCACUGAUUGGACUAGGGGUCCUCAUCGGAUUACCGAAUUCAGUCAAACUCCGAAUGCCAAUGACUUAUCCUUAGGAGUCAGACUGCGAGUGAUAAGAUCCGUAGUCAAAAGGGAAACAGCCCAGACCGCCAGCUAAGGUCCCAAAGUGUGUAUUAAGUGGAAAAGGAUGUGGAGUUGCUUAGACAACUAGGAUGUUGGCUUAGAAGCAGCCACCAUUUAAAGAGUGCGUAAUAGCUCACUAGUCGAGUGACUCUGCGCCGAAAAUGUACCGGGGCUAAAUACACCACCGAAGCUGCGGAUUGAUACCGAAUGGUAUCAGUGGUAGGGGAGCGUUCUAAGGACAGUGAAGUCAGACCGGAAGGACUGGUGGAGUGCUUAGAAGUGAGAAUGCCGGUAUGAGUAGCGAAAGACGGGUGAGAAUCCCGUCCACCGAAUGCCUAAGGUUUCCUGAGGAAGGCUCGUCCGCUCAGGGUUAGUCAGGACCUAAGCCGAGGCCGACAGGCGUAGGCGAUGGACAACAGGUUGAUAUUCCUGUACCACCUCUUUAUCGUUUGAGCAAUGGAGGGACGCAGAAGGAUAGAAGAAGCGUGCGAUUGGUUGUGCACGUCCAAGCAGUUAGGCUGAUAAGUAGGCAAAUCCGCUUAUCGUGAAGGCUGAGCUGUGAUGGGGAAGCUCCUUAUGGAGCGAAGUCUUUGAUUCCCCGCUGCCAAGAAAAGCUUCUAGCGAGAUAAAAGGUGCCUGUACCGCAAACCGACACAGGUAGGCGAGGAGAGAAUCCUAAGGUGUGCGAGAGAACUCUGGUUAAGGAACUCGGCAAAAUGACCCCGUAACUUCGGGAGAAGGGGUGCUUUCUUAACGGAAAGCCGCAGUGAAUAGGCCCAAGCGACUGUUUAGCAAAAACACAGCUCUCUGCGAAGCCGUAAGGCGAAGUAUAGGGGGUGACACCUGCCCGGUGCUGGAAGGUUAAGGAGAGGGGUUAGCGUAAGCGAAGCUCUGAACUGAAGCCCCAGUAAACGGCGGCCGUAACUAUAACGGUCCUAAGGUAGCGAAAUUCCUUGUCGGGUAAGUUCCGACCCGCACGAAAGGUGUAACGAUUUGGGCACUGUCUCAACCAGAGACUCGGUGAAAUUAUAGUACCUGUGAAGAUGCAGGUUACCCGCGACAGGACGGAAAGACCCCGUGGAGCUUUACUGUAGCCUGAUAUUGAAUUUUGGUACAGUUUGUACAGGAUAGGCGGGAGCCAUUGAAACCGGAGCGCUAGCUUCGGUGGAGGCGCUGGUGGGAUACCGCCCUGACUGUAUUGAAAUUCUAACCUACGGGUCUUAUCGACCCGGGAGACAGUGUCAGGUGGGCAGUUUGACUGGGGCGGUCGCCUCCUAAAGUGUAACGGAGGCGCCCAAAGGUUCCCUCAGAAUGGUUGGAAAUCAUUCGUAGAGUGCAAAGGCAUAAGGGAGCUUGACUGCGAGACCUACAAGUCGAGCAGGGACGAAAGUCGGGCUUAGUGAUCCGGUGGUUCCGCAUGGAAGGGCCAUCGCUCAACGGAUAAAAGCUACCCCGGGGAUAACAGGCUUAUCUCCCCCAAGAGUCCACAUCGACGGGGAGGUUUGGCACCUCGAUGUCGGCUCAUCGCAUCCUGGGGCUGUAGUCGGUCCCAAGGGUUGGGCUGUUCGCCCAUUAAAGCGGCACGCGAGCUGGGUUCAGAACGUCGUGAGACAGUUCGGUCCCUAUCCGUCGCGGGCGUAGGAAAUUUGAGAGG